AAUGGCCUCAAGUUGCGCCAGGGUAAGUUUAGGCUGGAUAUCAGGAAAAACUUCUUUACAGAAAGGGUGAUUAAACAUUGGAAUAGGCUCCCCAGGGCGGUGGUUGAGUCACCAUCCCUGGUUGUGUUUAAAAACUGGAUGUGGUGUUCAGGGACAUGAUUUAGCAGAGGGUUGUUAAAGUAGUAUGGUUAGGUUGUGAUUGGUCUUGAUGAUCUUUAAGGUCUUUUCCAACCUGCGCAAUUCUAUGAUUCUGUGAUUCUUUGAAUUGUCUCUACCAAGGAGAGAUUUGAUUAUUGGUCCACUGUAGCUCAACAUUUUCCCUUCCCUUCCCUUCCCUUCCCUUCCCUUCCCUUCCCUUCCCUUCCCUUCCCUUCCCUUCCCUUCCCUUCCCUUCCCGUCUUCUACUUGAGCCUGUGUAAUUGUGAAAGUACAGCUGUAACUGAUGGUGAGGGGUGAGGGUGCCACUUGAUUGCUUAGAAGUAAUAACACACAAUUUCCUUCUUUUCUCAUGACAUCUUCUAAAUAGGUUUUCUCCUUUGUAACCCAAGUGAGGAGUAUCAGGCGAAAAUAUCAGUGGACAAGUACCCUGAGAUAUCUCUGUGUUAGACAUUUUACAUAUUCUCAGCAUUCAAGGUGAGAGUCAUCAGCAGACUAGCACUACAACUACAACAUUACUUAUGUACACAGCCAGAAGGAUCAAUAACAGUUAAUUUCACUACUAAAUACCGCACAGAUUCUACAAUACCUCAAAUUCAUGUCAAGAGGAAGACUGAGACUUUUGUACUCUGUGGUUUUAUAAUAGAAUCGUAAGUUGAUCAUGAAAAGAAAUUGCUUGUUAAGUAGCCAUUGGUUUUUCAGCCAGAGAUUUGGAAGAAAUUGGAAGCUCAGAGGCUCUGGAAGG
rnacentral:lncRNA from 1 species